AGAGUUUGAUCCUGGCUCAGGACGAACGCUGGCGGCGGGCUUAACACAUGCAAGUCGAACGAACAGUUCGCCCAAACUUCGGUUAGGUGAAAUGUGAGUGGCGAACGGGUGAGUAACACGUAGGUAACCUACCCUCGAGCGGGGGAUAACCAUUGGAAACGAUGGCUAAUACCGCAUAAAGUCUUGGCAACACAUGUUGCCGGGAUGAAAACUCUGGUGCUCGAGGAUGGACCUGCGGUGGAUUAGGAAGUUGGUGAGGUAACGGCUCACCAAUCCUGCGAUCCAUAGCUGGUCUGAAAGGAUGAUCAGCCACACUGGCACUGAGACACGGGCCAGACUCCUACGGGAGGCAGCAGUGGGGAAUAUUGGGCAAUGGGCGAAAGCCUGACCCAGCCACGCCGCGUGCAGGAUGACACCCCUAUGGGGCGUAAACUGCUUUUAUAUGGGAAGAACCCUCUCGAUUCGUCGGGAGCUGACGGUACCAUACGAAUAAGGACCGGCUAACUCCGUGCCAGCAGCCGCGGUAAUACGGAGGGUCCAAGCGUUGUCCGGAUUUAUUGGGUGUAAAGGGUGUGUAGGCGGGCUUGUAAGUCAGAGGUGAAAUCCUACGGCUCAACCGUAGAACUGCCUUUGAUACUGCAGGUCUUGAGUCCUGGAGAGGUUGUUAGAAUUCGUGGUGUAGCGGUGAAAUGCGUAGAU
rnacentral:rRNA from 1 species